AACAAGAGAAAAAGAAAAAGUGAUGAAUCAAGAAAAAAGAAAAGAAAAUAAAAAUCAAAUACUCGAUGAUUCAAAAGAAAGAAGCAUGGAAAAGGGUAGUCGGUAAAAAUUCAAGAAAUAAGAAAAGAAAAUCGAGGAAAUGUAAGAAACCAACACAGGAUAUAACAGCAACUCUGAGCCAAAAGCCCAUUGUAUUCCUUUUGUUGUGAAUCCAUACCCUACCCCAAGCCAAGUUACAACUCUAAAGACCUCAAAAGUGUGUGUGUUAUGUGUAGGUGAUGAGAAAAGAGAGACUAUUCAUACUUGUGAGUGAUAUUGCAAACUUUGAAUUAUGAGUGUAAACAGUUAACCCCGAGAGAAUUGGUGAGAAUGUGAAAUAAUCUGACAGGUGAAACAGUAUUUUAAAGUGGAAGUGUGAAUGAUGACUUACAAGGAGGGGCAGGACUUGUGGAAGGAAAGGAAAGACGUUUGCG
rnacentral:lncRNA from 1 species